rnacentral:lncRNA from 1 species
GUCUGCCCAGCCCGCGGAACCCCGGCGGCCCCGCGAGCUAGGAUGAGGGGCCAGGCCGCCGCCCCGGGCCCUGUCUGGAUCCUCCUGCCGCUCCUGCUGCUGCUGCUGUUGCUGGGGCGCCGGGCGCGGGGGGCCACCGGGGUGGACGCAGGGCCCGGGGCCGAGCCGUGCACCACGUUGGUGCAGGGCAAGUUCUUCGGCUACUUCUCGGCAGCUGCUGUGUUUCCAGCCAACGCCUCUCGCUGCUCCUGGACCCUGCGCAACCCGGACCCCCGGCGCUACACUCUCUACAUGAAGGUGGCCAAGGCGCCCACGCCCUGCGGAGGCCCUGGCCGCGUCCGCACCUACCAGUUCGACUCCUUCCUGGAGUCCACGCGCACCUACCUGGGUGUGGAGAGCUUCGACGAGGUGCUGCGGCUCUGCGACCCCUCGGCGCCGCUCGCCUUCCUGCAGGCCAGCAAGCAGUUCCUGCAGAUGCAGCUCCAGCAGCCGGCCCAGGACCACAGCCCCGGGCCCCCCGGCCCCAGGGACGACUUCUCGGUGGAGUACCUGGUGGUGGGCAACCGCAGCCCCAGCCGGGCCGCCUGCCAGAUGCUGUGCCGCUGGCUGGACGCCUGUCUGGCCGGCAGCCGUAGCUCCCAUCCCUGUGGCAUCAUGCAGACCCCCUGUGCCUGCCUUGGCGGAGAGGCCAGCGACCCUGCCUCCAGCCCCUUGGUCCCCCAUGGGGACGUCUGCUUGAGGGACGGCGUGGCGGGUGGCCCCGAGAACUGCCUCACCAGCCUGACCCAGGACAGGGGUGGGCACGGCGCACCAGGUGAGUGGCGGAGGGAGAGGCUGAGGCGGCUCUGCCGGCAGAAGGGUGAGGGCAAAGUGGGCCCGGCCCCCAGGGCAGUGUGGCCAGCAGCGCCUUGGUCCCAGUGGGAAGCCUCCUUGAGCUGUUCACCACAGGCUCUCUGGGCUCCCAGUGGCCAGGGCUCGGUCAGGGUUGAGUUUCCUGCCAGCUGGGGAGUUCAAACUCCCCACCAGAGGGUCCUUUCCUUUUCUUAGCAAGGGCACCUCAAGGGACUGAGCCUGCUGAGGCCGGUGGCCGGGCCAGGUGCAGGGAACAGCGGAUGGAGUGGGCAGGGGUCUCUGUGGAGAUGCUGCCGGGGGGCGUGCCCCUCGCCCAUGGCCUGCUGUAGGGGACCCAGUUGCAAGAACAGCAUAGGAGUGCUGCCUUGGGAGCUGCCCCUUCAGGACAGAGAGGCGCCAGGAGCCAGCAGCGAGCAGCCACUCCCCCGGCAGUGGCGGGCGCACAGCCACCCGCAGCCCUGGCUCUCCGGGCUGCUAGCUUUCUUGAGGUCAGGGAGGUCACUUAGGCUGUGGACCAUGUUCACAGACUGGGGGAUGUGAGCGGACAGCAUUCCAGGCAGAGGGGACAGCAGGGGCUUAGCGUGUCCUGCUGCAGAGGGUCCCAGGCGGUCUGAGGGGUGUUGGCCCCUGGGUUUCCUCUGGGGAGGUGGGACCCCUCCUGGAGUGACCGUGGGCUGGAAGCCAGGGUUGCUCAAGGUGAGGUGAUAGGGCAGUCCUGCACACGCCUGCCCUGUGUCCUGAGGCCCUGUGCACCCAGGACCUGGGCUGGAGGCCAGGCUGGGCUGAGCUGGGCAGGGGCAGGGGUUGGAGCUUGGCAGGCUGCGUGGGAGCUGACCUCUGUUCAGGGGUGAGGCUCCACUGGGGGCUCAAUGUCUAGAGGCCAUUGUGGGUCAAGGGCCCUCAAGGACAUCGAGGGCCUCUCCAGGGCCCGCUGGGGGCCAGGGACGGCCGGGGAGAGGUGCGCUGCACUGGCCCUUCCAGGGCCAUGGAGGACAGAGGCAGCUCCUUGGGGGCUGGGGCCCAGGAAGCGAAGUGGACCAGUUUCCAUUUGGGCAGGCUGGAGGUCACUGUGACCUUGGCAAGGGCAGCUUAGCUUCCCUGGCACAGUGGGCGUGGUAGUGGGCCAAGCAGAACCGGGAAGAAGGGAGCAGAGUGAGCAGUGCUCUCCGGGGACGCAGAGGCUGACGGCUGGCUUGGGUGGGGACACAGGAGGACAGGGUUGGCGGUCAUCAGCAGAUCUGGCCGUGAGUCCUGCCCUGCCACUCGUGGAGGAGCCUUCUUCCUUCAUCUGCUGUGUGGAGUACCCUGCAGGGUGUUCUGCCAACCGGGGUGGACGGACAUCAGGGUCCUGUCCAGACACCCCCCCGGGCAGUGCCCGUCUUUAGUAGAAUGGUUGGGGGGUGGCCACACAGGGAGUCUCCAGAGGUACUCAGCAGUGGAGCUGGCUGGCAGGAGCCGUGACCUCUCUGGGCUGGCCCGGUGGAUGCAGGCGUCUGCUGGAGGGUGCUGGAGGGUGCUGGUGGCCGUGGAACCUCGGUGCCCGGGAGCCUGGGGCUCCACUCCUGAGCCCUUCCAUGGGCAGCCGCCGUGGCAGGAGCUGUGGCUGUGACGCCAGGCCUCCCCCUGCAUUUGUAUGUGAUCUUGAGAAGGGAAGGGCCCGGGAGGGCUGGUAGCAGAAGGGGGACACCCCUGGGUUGCGAGAAGCAGAAAGGCUCCCUGGUGGGAGCCUAAGGCAGAAGGUGGCGUGGGCAGGCAUCCAGGAGGUGGCUGAUGCUGCCCUGGUCAGGGCCCAGUAGCAGGGGCAGGAGGAAGGCCUUCAAGUGGAGCUGAGGGACUUGUGGAUGAAGUGGGCACAGAGGCAGGAGAGACUGGACUGCUUCCACAGUUCUGGUCAGGAUCGAGGACAUCCACUGGAGUGGGGAAGCAGGGGUGGGAGACGCAGCGAGGAGGAAGAUCUGGAGGUCAGAGUGGGACAGAGGACGAAUUACCUGUGGGACAUCUUGGGAGGGGGCAUUGUACUCAGAGCUGGGGCACAGGACAGGGCCAGGUGGGGGCAGGGCUUUUGAACUGUACCUUUUGAACCCAGGGCCUGGGUUCAAAUCCUGGCCUGACCCUGGCUUGCCAUGUACGUCUGAACCAUUCCCACUGCCCUCUCUGCCUAGAUUUCCACGGAAAUGAGAGGUGGGGCGAGGUGAUUCUGAGCAGAAGCAGCGUUACGAGGAGGCAGGGGCAUACUUGUGUGUUACCAGGCCGGAGAUCCUGGAGGGCCUGGGGCAGAGACCGGCUGGAGGCAGGGGUGUUGGAGAUGCAGUGUGGGCAGCUGGGGUGUGUGCACAGAUUUGGACAAAGGAUGCUGGCCAGUGGUGCCCAGAGCAGGUGGGGAGGUGUGAGUGCACGGUGUGCACAUGUGUGUGGUACAUCCUGUUCACGAGCCGGUUUGGAAGCGUGUGGAUGGGCUCUGGUAGGGUGGAGCAGGGAGCACAUGCUUUGGUUUGGUGAGGUGGCACACGUGUGCGUGCAGCACGUGGUGGGUGCACAGGUCAGUAGUGGACAGGCUUGUGGGCUCUGUGCAUUCACAAAUGUCAGCACGCAUCCAUGCAUGUGUAGGGUGUUAUACACAUGCAUGUUCACACAUGAAUGUCCUUGUGAGUGUGCUACAUGCAUGUUACGCGUGUGCAUACAUGCAGCGCACGUGUGUGCAGUGCAUGGAGUUCACAUACAUACAGUGCAUUGCGCGUGUAUUCAUGCACAUGCGUCUGGCAUGUGCACCCACAUAUGUGUGUACGUGUGGUAGCAUGUGUGUGCACGGAGCAGUGACUGUUCAUACUGCACAUUGUGUGUAUGUGACACGUGUGUGCACACAUUGCAUGUGUGGGUGCGAUGCAUUUUGCUGUGCCCGGUGUUCAUGCAUGCGAGUGAGCCCGUGUGCACACGGCAGGGCUCUGUGCGGCUCUUUCUGCAGUGUGGAGUGGAGUGCAGGGCCUGCCCGUCUUUCUGGUGGCGUGAAGCAGGUGGCACAUAGUCCCUGCCCAUGCCCUGCACCUGAGAGGCCCUGUGGCUUCCUGGGCCGUGAGAAUGAAAAUGAGCCGCAGUGACCGCGCAGCCGUUGCCUGGUGCUCAUCUUGUGCCGAAGCACCCAUGUGUCCACUGCUUUCUCUUCGUGGUGCCCCCCCCCCCAGACAGGCUCCCCCUUGAGGCUGCCCCCUGCCUCAGGACCUCGCAGGGCUGAGUGCUUUCCCCUCUGAGCCCGCAGCCUUGCUCAGAUGCUCCUUCUCGUGAGGCCCCUGACCUGCUGUGUCAUGGCGGCAGUCCCUCCAUGGCCCUCUGCCCCUCUGCCCCUCCUCCAUGACACAGGUCACCUUGGGCAGGUCGUGCACCUCCCUGACUAUGUGCUAAGAGGAGGCCUGAGCCCCUCACGGCCCUUCCCCCAGGUGCAUGCAGCAAGUGCUCAGCAAAUGCGUGUGGGCAACAGAGAUGUUAGCGCAGUGACCCGAGUAACACAGCUUAGUGAGUGGUAGGCUGCAGAGACACCUGGGUGCCACCUGGGCUUACACUGAGUGCCCUCUGUGUGCAGAAGGCGAAAGGUCGGGUAGCUUCAGAAGACAUGGCUGAGCCCACGCAGCAGCUACCCAGCUCUCCUCUGCGAGCCCCGUGCCCAGGACCUUCGCCUCACUGCGCCCACCGUGCAGCCCCACCUCAGCGAGGUGCCUGGCCAGGCGAGGCGGGGGCAGCCUGGGCGAGCCGUGGCCCAUUUUCAACCCUGCCCCCACCAGGCCCGUCCCAAUGCCACAUGGCCACGUCACGCAUCAGAUUCCACAAACAUGCCUCAGGCCAGAGCAACUGUCCUUCUCUGCCCGGCCCCCUCCAUGGCUGCCAGGCCCUGCACCCACCCUGGGUCCCGGUGCCACCCCCAGCUCGAUCUCCCCGUUCACUCCAUCUUCCCCACCACCUCUCAGCAGCUCUCUGCCUCUGGUGAGAUGGGCAUUUCUCUCAAGGGUUGUUUUAAAUAUUCAUGUUUUUAAUUAAAGAAUUUUAUUGCAGAAGCGACAUGUAAGAUAAUGAAGAAGCAGCCUCCUGGGGGUGGGAGCGAGUGUGUGUGUCCCCGUGCGUAUGGGCGUCCCCGUGUGUGUGUCCCUGUGUGUGUGUAUACAGAGGCCAGGGCAGGGGUGGGAGGCUCAGCUGACCUGGGUGUCCGGGGGUGUGGACACGUGGAUACACACGCGCAUGCGUGCUCUGCUAGGCAUGUGAGGGACCCGAUGGCCUGCAGGGCUGGCGCUGACCCUCCCUCUGGCCCUGCCCAGGGCCAGUCAUCAGUGUCCCGCCUGGCUAGUGACCCCCAUACAGUCGCACUCCCAGAAGCUCCGCUGAGGUCUGCAGGCCAGAGGGGCAGCAUGAGGGCGGGCGGGAGCUGGCCUGACCUGUGGGAGGAGGACUGGGGUGCAGUUGGGGUUGAGGUGGAGUUUGGUGGGUGCUGGAAGAUGGUGGGGCUGGGGAAAGCACCAGGGUCUUCACUCUCAGGGAUAGUGGGCUCCUCAUCUUGGCCUGUCGAUUUAGAAAAGUCUAGAAAAGAAGGAGGGAGAGGUACAGGCACCCCUUCAGUGCCCAUCAGGUGGAAAGAGCAGGGUGGGCCCAUGCAGAGAGUCCACAGGGAGCUGCCAGCCCUGACCGCGAGGCUGGAGGCAGGCUGAGGAUCAUGGCCUAAUUUAGUGCCACUUCCCAGAAAGGCAGGAGAAGGGAUGUCAGGUUGGCUGCGGGACAGCCAGAGCCUGGGGACGAGCAGGACGAGCAGCAAGACUGUCCAGGAUGGACUGAGUUUUCAGACUAGUGAUCAGGGCACUGUUCUCAGGACCAGGAGCACCUGGGAGCACCUGCCAGGGAGCCUGUUCCCCUCUGUGGGCUGGGAAUGGGGAGGACUUGCUUGUGGGACCUGUGUGAGCCUUCACUGAGCAGGUGCUCCACAGGAGGAGGAGCUGCCAGCCCAGCAGAAGGUGGGCUGUUUCAGGCCGGCUGGAUGCAGGGCCCAGGAGUGGGGCUAAGUGGGGGAGGGGCAUCAGGGAGCCUCCUGUCCUUGUGGUCCUGUGCUUAUUCAGAGGGGUCCUAUGGCCGGGGUCAGCGCCUGGGCGCCCCUCUAGGAAGCCUGGACAGAGGACCGUUCUUGCACCUUGCAGUGAGUGCCAGGAGACCCCAGCCGGCCCCGCAGGGGCAAGAAUGGGCAGUAGCCCGGGGGCUGCACAACCUGCGGGGCUCGAGCGCCCUCUGCUGGAUGAGGCUGGGAGUGCAGCGUCCCUCCCCUCCAAAGGGGAUCCCGGAGACUGGAGAGGCCGCCCUGGGGGAAGGGCUCCCGCGGAGCCCCGACCCAGCCCACUCCGGGCGCAGGAUCUGGGGAGCCCCUGCCUUCAGGCCUGGUCCCCACGGUGGGAAGGACACUCGAGCCCCCUCACUGUGCACCCUCGUCCCUGGGUGGCCGGCCUGCCUGGCGGCCGAUAAUUGGCUCUAUUCAUCGCCAUAAUGAGAUGGAAAUGAGGCUUCCAGACAGAGGGGCAUUGAGUGGGGGAAGAAUAGCGGCUUCUUUCCGGGACCGGAGGGGCAGCCCACCCCCAGCCCUGCCUGCUCCUCUGCUGCCCCCUUGCGUCCCGCGGGACCUGACAGCCUUUGUGCUGUGUGUGCUGCUCGGCAGGGGACCCCAGGAGUCCUUCCCUGUAACUCCCUUUCUGGCGCCCACUCUGGCAGGGCAAACAUUUGUGGAGCGUCAGCUCUGUGAGGACACACGUUAGACAGGAGAUGACGGCAAAAACGGCAGCUACACUUCCUGAGUGCUCCUUAGUGGAGAGACAUAGCCAAGGUUAGGAUCAGUGGUGGCUGGGAUCGGGGCUCAGUGUGUGGUGUUGGACCAGGGAUCCUAUGCUCAGGUCAGAGGUCAGUCUAUGAUGAGGAUCAAGGCUCCGUGUGUGACCAGAGUCAGGAAUCAAUCUGUGACCAGGACCAGAGCUCAGGCCAGGGCUCAGUGUGUGACCAGGACCAGGGCACAGCCUAUGACUUGGAUCCAGACUCAACAUAACCAGCUGGGACUGGAUUUAGUGUGGGCAGAGGGAGGUCCAUGCUCUGUGUCAGGGUCCCCAAGCCUCUCUUUAUGAUCCCCACCUCUCCUCUCCCCUCCCCCUCCACAUCCUCACCACCUGGGUCACCAAGGUAACCAGCCCUGAAAUAGUGGGUGUUCUGGCAGCUGAGGCCUAACCUGGGUCUAUCCUGAAAGGCUGCGCAGCAGUUGCCAUGGGAACCGAGUGGCAUCCUCCGAUUAGCCUGGCUUGGACACCCUCUCUCCCACCCACUGCCAGUUUCCACACCACUCAGGAUUCCUCAUGGGGGCUGGGCUGGGCGCAAAGGGGCACAAGCUGCAUGUGCCAGCUGGACCCGGUCGCCAGGCCUGCCUCCGUGAAAUCGGCCCUCUGCUCUGUCUAGAAUCACGGAUGGGAUGGGAUGGCAGGUGAGACUCCUGAGGCUGGUCAGUCCUGGCAGAUGGCCUUGGUGGGGAGGGGUGGGAUUUGGAACCUGAUCUGGUUGAAGAUCUGAAUUCGACCUGGUUCCUGAGACUGGGCAUCCCGCCCUGUCCUGUCCACUGUGCCUCCCCUUGCCCUUGGCUCUGCCCUGGGCCGGGGACAUCUCUGCUUGCCUCCUCCUGUGCCCUCCUGCCUGCUUUCUGAGGCCCUUCCACCUUAUCUGAAGAUGAAGUGAGAUAGGCAGUGCACGGUGCACAGACACUGAGAGCUCUUGCUCAGGACCGAGACCUGUGCCCACCCCCUCUGUCCCAGUCAGUGCCAGCUGGAGCAGACUGGCCUCACCCAGUGUGCGGCUGCCGCUCCCAGCCUCAGUGUCCUCUGCUACAGACAGGGUGAAGCAUGCCUGGUGGGGACGGGCUAGAGUGCAGGCUCUGUGCUGGCACUGGCCUUGCCCGCCAGGGACUGGGCACCCAGGAGGGCCACCCAUGGGAGGGGAAGCAACCCAUCCCAGGGAUGUGGGGCCUGAGUCCAGCAGUUUGGCACAGUCCCUGAGUGGCCUCUUCCUGGGGAAAAGCUGGGGGGAGAGGUACAGGCACCCCUUCACUUGUGGCCCCUGUGUUGUCUGAGAAAUGGGAGCAGGGCACCCCCCCCCCUCCAUAAGGGACACUCCACCCAGACUGAGAAGAGGCUCAGAAGCACCGCCCCACUUCCCUGCGCACUGGCUGUGUCCUGCCAGGCAGACACGGCCUGGUGCACUGGACAGGAGGACUGGUCCCCCUGGGCUCCAGCUCUCGUGGUCUGCUUCUCUGGAGACCACGGGGCUGUGGACUCCCUGAGGGGAGAGCAGCUUCCACAUCAAGCCGGGGGUAGAAGAUGCCCCUCUCCACCCUGUGUCCCAGCAGGAGAGCAAGCCUCCCAUCUGUGACCGGGAUUCCUUGCCUGGUUCCCACCACCCAUGCUGGUGCCCCCUGCUGGCCCAACCCAAGCAUGGGUGCAGAGAAGAUAGGCACUGCAGGGUGCACAGACCAGACCAGGCCCAGGGGUCAGCUCUGACCAGAAGGCCGUGCUUACACUCGGACAUUUCCAAGUGCUUUCUUGAUGUUGAGCCUCCUGCUGGUCAAUCCUGGGAAGCCGGCUGUCAUCCUUGGGCCGUGAUAGGUAUGAGGCCAGGAGAUGACCCAGGGACCAUUUGGGUGGUGGGGCUGCUCACCUUUUGGGACAUCCUGCGUGUCCCUAUUCUCACCCCACAAGGUGAGGUUCCCUCCUCUAGGCCACAGGUAAGGCUGAGGCACCAGAGGCCCUCCCUACCGCCAAGAGUCCCCUGCCCUUGGCCAGCUGGUUCUCGGUCCCUGGAGGGGCCUCUUGUGCUCUCUUGAGCAAGCUGUCUGGCUCAGUGCCCCCAGGGGGCAGUGUGGGGCCGUCUCUGGGCUCCAACACCAACCUCCUCAACAGGGAUAGGUCAGGGUGUCUUCAGCAGAGAUACCCUGUCCUCUGGGCCUGAGCCCAGCCUGUGAAGGGUCAACUACUCUUCUGAAGUCCAUCUAACCCCACUGCUCUGGAGUGCAGAAGACCAGGGGACGGCAGAGGCCCAGCUGUGUAGUGCGAGGUCCCCCAGCAGGAGGCCUCCGGUGGCCCACCAGUGCGCCUUGCUCCUGGUGCUUGCCGGCACUGGCCCUUCAAGCAGCCCUCAGUGUUCUCAGAAGCCCUGGGCCACCAAGGGGCUGAGGCCCCCAGGGGCAGCAGGCCUGGUUGUUGGGGGAAACAUUCCGGUGACGGCAGUGGACUACCAGGGCCAGGGUGGAGGAAGACCUAGGAGAGGCUGAGGUGGGUGGCUGGAGUCAGCAGGGCCAGGGGCCUGGAGGCCUGUGUCCAGAGCUCAGCUGGUGGUCAGUUCUGCUGGGUCUUAAAUAGGUCUUUGGGUCUGCCAGGCUGGGCCCUGGUGUGGGACCUUGGUGGGCGUGGGGUUGGGUGGGGCUUGGGCCAUGGCCGAGUCUAGCCCUCCUCUGUGCAGAGGAGGCAAAAGCUCCGAGGAGCAGGACCUGAGCCAGAAAUUGAUGAAGGGCCUGGGAGGGUGUCCAGGUGUGCAGGAACGCAAGCCUUAGCCAGCUCUCUGCCCUGGGCCUCUCAGGGUCCUUGUGUCUAAGACAGCCUUGGGCUGGGUGGGAGACCACUGCCCUCCGGCAAACCCGCCUGGGCGGUGCCAGGUGCCAGGUACUAGGACUGACCUGAGCCCUCCAGCAGGUGCCCAGGAGCUGGGUGGCACCAGGUCCCCUAAGGCCCCACGGGGCACUUCUGUCCCUCCCAGCCAGCCGCAGCAGGUGCUUUCCCCUGGGUGCUGCCCACCGCUCCCAACUCCAUCCGCCUGUCCCCAGUCCUCCGCGCUCUGACCCCGCCUCCUGGUUCCGCAGGCGGUUGGAAGCUGUGGUCCCUGUGGGGAGAGUGCACGAGGGACUGCGGAGGAGGCCUGCAAACGCGGACGCGCACCUGCCUGCCAGCACCAGGCGUCGAGGGCGGCGGCUGCGAGGGGGUUCUGGAAGAGGGUCGUCUGUGCAACCGCAAG